rnacentral:tRNA from 1 species
AGGGGCGUAGCCCAGUUGGUUUAGAGCGCUUCAGUCACAUUGAAGAGGUCCCCGGUUCGAGCCCGGGCGUCCCUACCA